AGCACGGACCAAGGAGUUCAGCGUGUACGCGAGUCAUUGGGUGGUAAAACCCAAAGGCGUAAUGAAAGUGAAGGGAACUUUACGUUUCUGAGGGAGGACGAGUCGGUUACCCGCAAGGGGCUGCUCCGCACUCCCGGGGCGUCUCUUUCUCAUUGCGAGUGGAGGCGCACCCAUAGCGUAUACGCUGAUACCCGAAAGAUGGUGAACUAUGCCUGGCCAGGACGAAGCCAGGGGAAACCCUGGUGGAGGUCCGCAGCGAUUCUGACGUGCAAAUCGAUCGUCGGAGCUGGGUAUAGGGGCGAAAGACCAAUCGAACCAUCUAGUAGCUGGUUCCCUCCGAAGUUUCCCUCAGGAUAGCUUGCGCUCACGUGAAAGAGUCUCAUCCGGUAGAGCGAAUGAUUAGAGGCCUUGGGGUCGAAACGACCUCAACCUAUUCUCAAACUCCAAAUAGAUGAGAACUCCGGCUUUCUUGAACUUUGUUUUUGAAGCCGGGGGCUCGGAUCAGAGUGCCAAGUGGGCCAAUUUUGGUAAGCAGAACUGGCGCUGUGGGAUGAACCAAACGUCGAGUUAAGGCGCCCAAAUCGACGCUCAUGUGAAACCAUGAAAGGCGUUGGUUGCUUAAGACAGCAGGACGGUGGCCAUGGAAGUCGGAAUCCGCUAAGGAGUGUGUAACAACUCACCUGCCGAAGCAACUAGCCCUGAAAAUGGAUGGCGCUGUAGCGUCGUGCCUAUACUCGACCGUCAACGGCAAAGUCGGCCGGCGGGCAACCGUUGGCCGUUACGCCUUGACGAGUAGGAGGGCCGCGGCGGCGUGCGUAGAAGGGUCUGGGCGCGAGCCUGCCUGGAGCCGCCGUCGGUGCAGAUCUUGGUGGUAGUAGCAAAUACUCCAGCGAGGCCCUGGAGGACUGAUGUGGAGAAGGGUUUCUUGUGAACAGCUGUUGCACAAGAGUCAGUCGGUCCUAAGCCCUAGGAGAAAUCCGAAGCGAUGGGUUGCCGUUAAUAACACAACAUGAUUAUGAAGGCACCCGUUUGGGCGAAAGGGAAUCUGGUUCCUAUUCCAGAACCUGGCAGUGGAACCGUUCCAAUUCGGGCCCUCUGAGGACUCGUCAGGGCAACCUGAAUAGACCCGGAGACGCCGACAGGAGGUUGGGGGAGAGUUGUCUCUUCUCUAUAAGCGAUCGAGUUCCCUGGAAACUUCUAGCAAGGAGAUAGGGUUUGGAUCGCGAAGAGCACUGCAGUUACGGCAGUGUCCCAAUCUUCCUCUCGGACCUUGAAAAUCCGGGUGAGGGCCACGAGGAACCCCACGCCAGACCGUACCCAUAUCCGCAGCAGGUCUCCAAGGUGCAAAGCCUCUAGUCGAUAGAAU
rnacentral:rRNA from 1 species